UCGAUUCUGGAAAAGCGUCAGGUUGGGUUUUAAGACUCUCAAAGAAGCUAUUGAAGAUAUGAGAAGAGACAUUCAGAUAUUCCAGCACACAUAUCUCCAUGUUUCCGUGUGAAAGAAGGAGAUCAUGUUAUUAUUGGGCAAUGCAGACCACUUUCAAAGACCGUCAGAUUCAAUGUUCUUAAGGUGAUUCCUGCUGGAUCUUCUGGCGGGGGCAAGAAGGCCUUCACUGGAAUGUGAGUUUGACAAUGACGGUUUCAGGGUGAUGUUACAGUCAUAAUGGAUUUAGGGUAAUUUGGUUAUAGAAAAGCAGAUUUUAGAAGUUUUAAACAGCAUCUCAAUACAUUAUUGAUUAAAAGAUGGAUUAUUGAACACGCUCUGUGCUUCAAAUUUUUUUGGUAGUGGAAAUUUGUUAUGUCAUGCAGUAGGUUCACUGAAUGAAUUAACACCUGUUUGGUAAGGAAAAGUAUCAUAUCAUUUAGUAAUUGGAUGAACAUGCAUGGUUAAUAGAGAUUCUUUCUUAUAUGUUUUGCCGGUUAUGUGUUGCAUAUCUCCAUUAUUAAAACACAUUAUUCAAUCUGUCAAAUGUUAUUUCAAAUGAAUACUACAAAAUUGUGGAAUUUAAUUGAAUUCCAUGUUUUGUGUGUUUGGUCUGAAAAAAAAAAAAAUCCAAGAAUUCAACAUUAGGAAUUGGUUAUAAUUAAAAUUAAUUCUUAUCGAAUUUGAUGGAAUUUGAAAUGAAUUUCACAAAAUUAACAUAACUGGACUAAAAUUCCCAUAUCAAAAGAUUCUCUCAAUUAUCCACCUUCUACUUAUACUCAGCUUCUACUCUGUAAAUUGUAAACAAAAAAAAGUGAAAAUAUGGGGAUUUUAUAUUUUUUGUAUAAUAUAUGUAGCAAUAAAGAUUAUCAUUUACUAUUAAUAUGUCCAGACAACUAUAUAAGAUAUUUUAUAGUUUUGUACUAACUUUUUAAUAUCCAAGUUUAUUAUGCACUCAGUAACAACACUUUUU
rnacentral:misc_RNA from 1 species